rnacentral:rRNA from 1 species
UACAGAGGGGGCAAGCGUUAUUCGGAAUUAUUGGGCGUAGAGGGCGCGUAGGCGGCUUGGCAAGUGGAUGGUGAAAUCCCUCGGCUUAACCGAGGAACGGCCGUCCAAACUGCUUCGCUUGAGACCGGGAGAGGUGAGUGGAAUUCCCAGUGUAGCGGUGAAAUGCGUAGAUAUUGGGAGGAACACCAGUGGCGAAGGCGGCUCACUGGACCGGUACUGACGCUGAAGCGCGAAAGCGUGGGGAGCAAACGGG